rnacentral:misc_RNA from 1 species
AAGUCGUAACCAGGUUUCCGUAGGUGAACCUGCGGAAGGAUCAUUAACAAGUAUCCAAACGUUAAAACCCCGUUAACAGUUGUUCGGUUUUUUUACCCAAUGUAUUACAUUGAGCUUCACAUUAAACUGUGGGGUUAUUAGGGGGCAUGGGGACCCUUUGGCAAAGCUCCUGCCCGGGUGUACGGUCUACAGGAAUCGUAGAAGCGCUAUCCUUGCAGAAUCAAUGACACUUUCCGACACUGACUGCUUGGGGAAAGAUUGCCUAUAGAACUACCGCUCGAUUGUAACUGUUCCAAUGUUCGCACGUAGCCAGAGGUCUCUGAAUCACUACAACUUUCCGGGCUAUGAUUUAUCAGAGAUUGCGAACUACGCGGGUUACAAGAGCAGGAUGAAGGUUCACGGGGAAUGGAUAUCAUGGUUCUC